AACGCGAAGAACCUUACCUACACUUGACAUGUCUGGAAUCCUGAAGAGAUUUGGGAGUGCCCGAAAGGGAGUCAGAACACAGGUGCUGCAUGGCUGUCGUCAGCUCGUGUCGUGAGAUGUUGGGUUAAGUCCCGCAACGAGCGCAACCCUUGUCAUUAGUUGCUACGCAAGAGCACUCUAAUGAGACUGCCGGUGACAAACCGGAGGAAGGUGGGGAUGACGUCAAGUCCUCAUGGCCCUUAUGUGUAGGGCUUCACACGUCAUACAAUGGUCGGUACAGAGGGUUGCCAACCCGUGAGGGGGCGCUAAUCCCAGAAAGCCGAUCGUAGUCCGGAUCGCAGUCUGCAACUCGACUGCGUGAAGUCGGAAUCGCUAGUAAUCGCGGAUCAGCAUGUCGCGGUGAAUACGUUCCCGGGUCUUGUACACACCG
rnacentral:rRNA from 1 species